rnacentral:rRNA from 1 species
GGCGUAAAGCGCACGCAGGCGGGGUCUGUUAAAGUUGGAUGUGAAAUCCCCGGGCUUAACCUGGGAACUGCAUUCAAACUGACAGGCUAGAGUCUUGUAGAGGGGGGUAGAAUUCCAGGUGUAGCGGUGAAAUGCGUAGAGAUCUGGAGGAAUACCGGUGGCGAAGGCGGCCCCCUGGACAAGACUGACGCUCAGGUGCGAAAGCGUGGGGAGCAAACAGGAUUAGAUACCCUGGUAGUCCACGCUGUAAACGAUGUCGAUUUGGAGGUUGUGCCCUUGAGGCGUGGCUUCCGGAGCUAACGCGUUAAAUCGACCGCCUGGGGAGUACGGCCGCAAAGGAUAGGACUCAAAUGAAUUGACAGGGGCCCGCACAAGCGGUGGAGCAUGUGGUUUAAUUCAUGCACUGCGAAGAUCCUUACCUGCUCUUGACAUCCACUGGUAUUCUGGAGAGAUACCUUUGUGCCAUCGGGAACUGUGGGGACUGGUGCU